rnacentral:rRNA from 1 species
CGGGAGGCAGCAGUGGGGAAUUUUGGACAAUGGGGGCAACCCUGACUCUCUAGACACAUGCCGCGUGAGUGAAGAAGGCCUUCGGGUUGUCAAGCUCUUUCAGCCGGGAAGAAAACACAUGGGUUAAUACCCUGUGUGGAUGACGGUACCGGAAUAAGAAGCACCGGCUAACUACGUGCCAGCAGCCGCGGUAAUACGUAGGGUGCGAGCGUUAAUCGGAAUUACUGGGCGUAAAGCGUGCACAGGCGGUUUGUUAAGAUAGGCGUGAAAUCCCCGGGCUCAACCUGGAACUGCGUUUAUGACUGGCAGGCUAGAGUAUGGCAGAGGGGGGUGGAAUUCCACGUGUAGCAGUGAAAUGCGUAGAGAUGUGGAGGAACACCGAUGGCGAAGGCAGCCCCCUGGGCCAAUACUGACCCGCACAAGCGGUGGAUGAUGUGGAUUAAUCUGCAACGCGAAAAACCUUACCUACCCUUGACAUGUCCGGAAGCCCUUAGAGAUUUGGGUGUGCUCGAAAGAGAGCCGGAACACAGGUGCUGCAUGGCUGUCGUCAGCUCGUGUCGUGAGAUGUUGGGUUAAGUCCCGCAACGAGCGCAACCCUUGUCGUUAAUUGCCAUCAUUUAGUUGGGCACUUUAACGAGACUGCCGGUGACAAACCGGAGGAAGGUGGGGAUGACGUCAAGUCCUCAUGGCCCUUAUGGGUAGGGCCUCACACGUCAUACAAUGGUCGGUACAAAGGGUUGCCAACCCGCGAGGGGGAGCUAAUCCCAGAAAGCCGAUCGUAGUCCGGAUCGUAGGCUGCAACUCGCCUGCGUGAAGUCGGAAUCGCUAGUAAUCGUGGAUCAGCAUGUCACGGUGAAUACGUUCCCGGGCCUUGUACACACCACCUAUAACCGAUAUGA